GUUCCCGUGGUGUAGUGGUUAUCACGUGCGGUUUACACGCGCAAGUCCCCGGUUCUAUCCCGGGCGGGAACA
rnacentral:tRNA from 1 species